rnacentral:rRNA from 1 species
GUAGGUGGCAAGCGUUGUCCGGAAUUAUUGGGCGUAAAGCGCGCGCAGGCGGUUCGUUUAAGUCUGAUGUGAAAGCCCACGGGCUCAACCGUGGAGGGUCAUUGGAAACUGGAGAACUUGAGUACAGAAGAGGAAAGCGGAAUUCCACGUGUAGCGGUGAAAUGCGUAGAGAUGUGGAGGAACACCAGUGGCGAAGGCGGCUUUCUGGUCUGUAACUGACGCUGAGGCGCGAAAGCGUGGGGAGCAAACAGGAUUAGAUACCCUGGUAGUCCACGCCGUAAACGAUGAGUGCUAAGUGUUAGGGGGUUUCCGGUCCCCUUACGCGCUGCAGCUAACGCAUUAAGCACUCCGCCUGGGGAGUACGGCCGCAAAGGCUG